UACGUAGGGGGCAAGCGUUGUCCGGAAUCAUUGGGCGUAAAGAGCGUGUAGGCGGCCAGAAAAGUCCGCUGUGAAAACUCGAGGCUCAACCUCGAGACGCCGGUGGAAACCGUCUGGCUAGAGUCCGGAAGAGGAGAGUGGAAUUCCUGGUGUAGCGGUGAAAUGCGCAGAUAUCAGGAAGAACACCCGUGGCUAAGGCGGCUCUCUAGUACGGUACUGACGCUGAGACGCGAAAGCGUGGGGAGCGAACAGG
rnacentral:rRNA from 1 species